AGUCCUCCUAAGUGAAGAGGCAAUUGACAGAUAGAAGGGAUUAGCAAUCAAUCCCCUGUUAUUCAGUGAGUCGUUCAUUAUGCUCGCACUACGUCAUGUUAUUUGAUAAGUCCUCCUAAGUGAAGAGGCAAUUGACAGAUAGAAGGGAUUAGCAAUCAAUCCCCUGUUAUUCAGUGAGUCGUUCAUUAUGCUCGCACUACGUGCUGAUGCUCUUGAA
rnacentral:lncRNA from 1 species